rnacentral:rRNA from 1 species
GAUGAACGCUGGCGGCGUGCUUAACACAUGCAAGUCGAGCGGAGAUAAGAUAAAAGCUUGCUUUUAACUUAUCUUAGCGGCGGACGGGUGAGUAACGUGUGGGCAACCUGCCUCAUACAGAGGGAUAAUCAUGUGAAAACGUGACUAAUACCUCAUGUCAUUGCCGGAAGGCAUCUUCAGGCAAGAAAAGGAGUAAUCCGGUAUGAGAUGGGCCCGCAUCUGAUUAGCUAGUUGGUGAGAUAAUAGCCCACCAAGGCAACGAUCAGUAGCCGACCUGAGAGGCGGACGGCCACAUUGGGACUGAGACACGGCCCAAACUCCUACGGGAGGCAGCAGUAGGGAAUUUUUCGCAAUGGGGGAAACCCUGAACGAGCAAUGCCGCGUGAGUGAGGAAGGUCUUCGGAUCGUAAAGCUCUGUUGUAAGAGAAAAACGGCACUCAUAGGGAAUGAUGAGUGAGUGAUGGUAUCUUACCAGAAAGUCACGGCUAAC